CUGCUCUCCAGCAAACUAAACAGGUGGAGAGAGGAGGGGAGACAGUCAUCUGUCAUCUACAUAUCUACAUAUUUACUGCAGUUAGAAAGAUCUCUAAGAUGAUGCUACUACAGAGUCCACAGAGGCGGAGCGAAGCAGGAGAGAAGAACAGCAAGGACCGAAGCAGAUGAUUCCUACUAAUCUUAGCACCCUCACAAAAUAGUCCUUUCAGAUGGAUACUUCAGGAAACGAGACUCCCAAGACCAAAACCCAACGUUAACCACGUUGUCAAUAGCCCUGAAAUGCCAGAAGAAGAGAACAUGCCCCCAUUCAAC